rnacentral:rRNA from 1 species
AACGAACGCUGGCGGCAUGCCUAACACAUGCAAGUCGAACGAGACCUUCGGGUCUAGUGGCGGACGGGUGAGUAACGCGUGGGAACCUGCACUUCAGUGGGGGAUAACGACGGGAAACUGUCGCUAAUACCGCAUACGCCCUAAGGGGGGAAGAUUUAUCGCUGAAGGAUGGGCCCGCGUCGGAUUAGCUAGUUGGUGAGGUAAUGGCUCACCAAGGCGACGAUCCGUAGCUGGUCUAAGAGGAUGAUCGGCCACACUGGGACUGAGACACGGCCCAGACUCCUACGGGAGGCAGCAGUGGGGAAUCUUGCGCAAUGGGCGAAAGCCUGACGCAGCAACGCCGCGUGCGGGAUGAAGGCCUUCGGGUUGUAAACCGCUUUCAGCAGGGAAGAAAAUGACGGUACCUGCAGAAGAAGCCCCGGCCAACUACGUGCCAGCAGCCGCGGUAACAC